rnacentral:rRNA from 1 species
UUUGCCAGCAGCCGCGGUAAUACGUAGGGUGCAAGCGUUGUCCGGAAUCAUUGGGCGUAAAGAGCUCGUAGGCGGUCUGUCGCGUCUGCUGUGAAAACCUGGGGCUUAACCCCGGGCCUGCAGUGGGUACGGGCAGACUAGAGUGCGGUAGGGGAGACUGGAAUUCCUGGUGUAGCGGUGAAAUGCGCAGAUAUCAGGAGGAACACCGGUGGCGAAGGCGGGUCUCUGGGCCGUAACUGACGCUGAGGAGCGAAAGCAUGGGUAGCGAACAGGAUUAGAUACCCUGGUAGUCCAUGCCGUAAACGUUGAGCGCUAGGUGUGGGGCUCAUUCCACGAGUUCCGUGCCGCAGCAAACGCAUUAAGCGCCCCGCCUGGGGAGUACGGCCGCAAGGCUAAAACUCAAAGGAAUUGACGGGGCCCCGCACAAGCGGCGGAGCAUGCGGAUUAAUUCGAUGCAACGCGAAGAACCUUACCAAGGCUUGACAUGCAGGGAAAUCUCCCAGAGAUGGGAGGUCCGCAAGGGUCCUGCACAGGUGGUGCAUGGUUGUCGUCAGCUCGUGUCGUGAGAUGUUGGGUUAAGUCCCGCAACGAGCACAACCCUCGUUCUAUGUUGCCAGCGGGUAAUGCCGGGGACUCAUAGGAGACUGCCGGGGUCAACUCGGAGGAAGGUGGGGAUGACGUCAAAUCAUCAUGCCCCUUAUGUCUUGGGCUUCACGCAUGCUACAAU